rnacentral:rRNA from 1 species
CAGCGCCACGGUAAUACGUAGGGUGCGAGCGUUAAUCGGAAUUACUGGGCGUAAAGCGUGCGCAGGCGGUUGUGUAAGACAGGUGUGAAAUCCCCGGGCUUAACCUGGGAACUGCGCUUGUGACUGCACAGCUAGAGUAUGGCAGAGGGGGGUGGAAUUCCACGUGUAGCAGUGAAAUGCGUAGAGAUGUGGAGGAACACCGAUGGCGAAGGCAGCCCCCUGGGCCAAUACUGACGCUCAUGCACGAAAGCGUGGGGAGCAAACAGGAUUAGAUACCCGCGUAGUCCCUGUCUCUUAUACA